GAGGUAGCCAACACUGAUAUAUAUAUAAUGUUCCUCAGAGUAGCUGUUGACAUUAUAGUUGCACAGGCACUUUGUUAACUCUAGAGAACCUCGGACCAGACGCACAUCCCCGUGACGGCGAAUUUGCAUUUGGAUGUCAUCCAAAUCAACUUUCGAUGACAGUUUCUGCGCCUACCAUGGUGACCACGGGUAACGGAGAAUCAGGGUUCCAUUCCAUACAGGGACCCUGAGAAACGGCUACCAUAUGCAAGGAAGGCAGCAGGCGUGCAAAUGACCCACUCCUGAUGCGGGAAGGUAG